rnacentral:rRNA from 1 species
CCCUUAGAUGUUCUGGGCUGCACGCGCGCUACACUGAAGCGUUCAACGAGUAUUUCACCUUGCCCGGGAGGGUUGGGUAAUCUUUUUAAAACGCUUCGUGAUGGGGAUAGAUUAUUGCAAUUAUUAAUCUUCAACGAGGAAUUCCUAGUAAGCGCGAGUCAUCAGCUCGUGCUGAUUACGUCCCUGCCCUUUGUACACACCGCCCGUCGCACCUACCGAUUGAAUGGUCCGGUGAAUCUUUAGGACUGUGGCUGAGGCCUUGCCUUGUGCGGGUCUGGCCGUGGGAAUUUAGUUAAACCUUACCAUUUAGAGGAAGGUGAAGUCGUAACA